rnacentral:rRNA from 1 species
GACUACUGGGGGCUGCAGUGGGGAAUAUUGGACAAUGGGGGCAACCCUGAUCCAGCCAUGCCGCGUGUGUGAAGAAGGCCCUCGGGUUGUAAAGCACUUUCAGUGAGGAAGAACGCCUGGUGGUUAAUACCCAUCAGGAAAGACAUCACUCACAGAAGAAGCACCGGCUAACUCCGUGCCAGCAGCCGCGGUAAUACGGAGGGUGCGAGCGUUAAUCGGAAUUACUGGGCGUAAAGCGCGCGUAGGUGGCUUGAUAAGCCGGUUGUGAAAGCCCCGGGCUCAACCUGGGAACGGCAUCCGGAACUGGCAAGCUAGAGUGCAGGAGAGGAAGGUAGAAUUCCCGGUGUAGCGGUGAAAUGCGUAGAGAUCGGGAGGAAUACCAGUGGCGAAGGCGGCCUUCUGGACUGACACUGACACUGAGGUGCGAAAGCGUGGGUAGCAAACAGGAUUAGAUACCCGAGUAGUC